rnacentral:lncRNA from 1 species
GCCAAAAAUUAAAUAUCUAUAUCUUACACACUCCACUACUCUUCAUUGGUCACACACAGAAUUCAUUUUGUUUUGUAUUAGCCAAUAAUCAUUCAAUCGCCUCAUAAUCUUUUCAAGAUCGGCUACACAAUGAAAAUAUGUCGACAUCAAUCCCAGGCUUGAUAUGUUGAUGGCAUACAACUAUGAGAUCAGAGUGAUGGAAGUUGGAACAUGAGUUGAUUCUUUAGCUUAUAAAGCACUCAUAUCCCUUUGACGCCAUUACUGUUGAUGUUGUUACUUUCAGCACCAUGUGAUCUAUUACUACCUUACGAGAACAAGUGUUGGCGAUGCAAAAAGACCACAAUGCAUGUGCCAAAGUGAUGUGAAGUUGGCUUAAAGAACUGCUUAUAGCGACCACGGAUAAAGUGUUGCGCACCACCCUAGGACUGUCACCAUAGUAAGCUAGAUUGUUUGUCAUGUAUUAACUAAACAAAAUUUGUAAAUAAAUAACAAAAUACUAUUAUAAUAUGACGUUUUUGAUU